UUCCUUUUCAUCCUUUCUUUAUUCUUCUCAUAUUUUUUCUUUCGUCUUCCUUUUCUUUUCCUUUCUACUUAUCCAUAUUCUUGUUUCUGCUUUCUAAUACAGAAAGUUUUGAUAGAGUAGAUCGUCAUAUUUUUAAAUUUAUAAAUACAUGAAACCUUAAUUUAUAUUAAUAUAUUAUGUCAUAAUAAUAGUUUACUUGUUUGAAAAACAUGCUUUAAAUUAUCAGGAUCUGGUUUAUGUAUUUCUAUGUUUUGAAUAUAAUUUUACAUAUACAACCACUCAAGAUUUUCCUUUUUUUUCAUUUAGUGGUAAGCAUUAUUUUUAUUUUUAACAAUUUCUUUCGAUAUAUAUAUAUUUAGUUACAUUAACAAAUCACUUCAUUUAUUCAUAUCAUGAAAGAAAGUAAAAUAGUCCAUGUAUCUCAUAAAUUUAAUGCUUAAAUUUUUUUAGACAUUAUAUUAGUUUAUACAACCAGAAACUGUGGCAGAAAGAUCUUAUUCACAAAUUAUAUUUCUUAUUAUUGGAUCUUCUAAACCACCUGAUUUUGCAAACAGGUAAAGAAAUCCAACAAUAUUAUUUACAAAUGUGAUUUUGCAAACAGACAGAUAAUGAAUGGAACAUCAUUGUGGAGGAAAGGAAUGGAGAUGCAUAUAUUAGGUACUAUUAGUAUUUUGUUUAUCAAAAUUAUUUUUAACAUUUUCCCUUGUUAUUCAAAUCUAUUAACUAUGUUUACAUUCUAAAUUUAUUAGUAAUCAAAUUUAAGGAUUGAUAAUUAAUUGAAUCAAAAUAUAUACCUAAUGGAUUGUCUAUGCAGUAUUUGAAAUCUAUUGUGAAAGGAUGAAAAUCUAUUAUAACUAAUAUAAAUGUUAAAGUUUCAUCAUUUCAUAAUAUAUUUUAGGUUUAAUAGGUUCGGAAGUCCCUAUAUUUGUGGGUUCGUUUCAAUUGGGUCCUCCAAUUUUGAAAGUGAUCAAUUUGGUCCCUAAUUUAACAAAAUUGAGUCAAUAAUACCCUUUCCGUUAAAUACAAUGGACGUCAUUAACUUUUUAAACAUGUGGUAUGUUGAAGCAUCCUUCAAAUAAAACUGUGCCACCUGCAAAUAAAAGGAUGCCUCAACAUGCCACAUGUUUAAAAAGUUAACGUCGUCCAUUAUAUUUAACGGAAAGGGUAUUAUUGACUCAAUUUUGUUAAAUUAGGGACCAAAUUGAUCACUUUCAAAAUUGGAGGACCCAAUUGAAACGAACCCACAAAUAUAAAGACCUCCGAACCUAUUAAACCUAUAUUUUAUAAAACUGAGUACAAGCCAUUAGUCACAUGUUUAAUAUAAUUAAAUUUUAAUAUAUCUGAUAAAUAUACGAGAAUUCAUAAAUUAAAAUAUUUCAACUGAUACCUUAAAUGAAUGAAAUAUAAAAAAAAGUAUUAAAAUGAUUAAGAACAUUAUCAAUCUUCACUAUUAUAUAUCAAAAUUUAUAUAAUAUCUAAAAUCAAAGAACUAUGCUGUUAAUAAAGUUAAUAUUCGAUCUUUCACAGUAAAGACAAUACAUAAUGUAGAAAAACUCAUCAUGUUAGCAUCCAAGUUUAAUGCAAUAAUCUAAGUAAGAAAAUAUAUAAAAGCAUUACUUUUGUAAGAAAUAUUAAACAAUGUCAUUAAACAAAUAUCACUUAAAAGGAUAAAAGUGUAUUUGUCAUAAUAAUAUUAAUAAAUUAUUCAAUGAAUUAAAACUUAACCGUUAUAAAAUAAACAUUUCAUUAUCUGUUGCAGUGACUUGGAUGCUAAUAUAAUUAAGGUAAUGAGAUUUUGUAUAAUAUGUAAUGUUUUUUCUGUGAAAGAUCAAAUGUAUAUUUUAUUAACAGCAUAAUAUCAUAUAAGAAAAUUCCAAAUGUAUUUGAUGUAUAUCAAAUUUGGCAUUAUCUUAUUUAUUCAUAAUUAAAAAAAUUUAGCUAAUUUCAUGUACUUAUAAAUAGUACAUGUUAUUGUGCAAAUAGAUAAGAAGAGAUGCAAUAUUGUGGAGGAGAUAUUGCAUUAUCAUCAUAUGAUUCACCAAAAUUAUUUUUUAACAUUGCUUAAUAUUGUGAAUUGAUUAAGUUUUUCUGUGUAGUUAGUACAUUAAGUUACAUGUGUUAAUUAAUUUGAGAGUGUAAUUUGUUAAUAUUUUAUGUUUUGUUGUUCUUGCAACCUAUUCUUUACAGCUACUUGUAUUAAUGAAAUUUGAUAAUCAAUUUAAUGCUUUUUUAUAUUAUUAUGGAUUUUGUUAGAUAUAUUGGUUAGAACUUCUUAUUAAUUGAAUUUAUUCAAUAAUUAAUUGGAUCCAUUUACCUGACUAAUGAAUUGUAUUUGUAAUUUUGAAAAUCCUAUAUGAAAAUCUAUUAUUACUAAUGUAAUGGUUAAAAGUUCAUCCUUUUAUAGUAUAUUUUACAAAAAUAGAAGCAAAACCCAUUAGUCAGAUGGAUUCAAAUUAUUGUAAACAACAUAACAUAGUACAUGAAUAAACAUAAUAGAUGUAGGCAUGAAUAGAAUAGGUUUCCAGAAUAACAAAACUUGAAAUAAUGAUAUAUUACACUCUCAAAUGGAUUAAUGUAUGAAUGUCCUUUAAUGAACUAAUAUUACAAUGCAAUUAACAAGGUGAGUUAGAAUGUAAAUUCUGACAGCAAUUUUAUUGAAACAUCAUCUAAGAGCACACUCUCCUUCAAGUUUGAAUCUGAAAUCUGAUGCAACAUGGUGGCUUCAGCUUCCACAAUCAUGUGGUUUAGAUGUUCAUUCAAAGAUCUCAAUGGCUACAAUGUAUUUAUAUGUAUCUAACAAUUUCAGUGUAUUCGGUUUUUAUUUGUUUGCAGCAUGACGUGUAAUAGUUUUUAUUUGAUUAAAUUAAUAAUAAUAAUAUUAUAGAUGUGAUUUAUUAUUUGUUUGUAACGUUUUAUGUUUUAUUGAGAAAAUUGACACACAAGAAAAGCAUAAUUUUAUCUCAGACACUGUCUUCUGGAAAUAAUUAAAAAAUAUUGUCCUUUUCUAUAGUGAGUGAAUACAAAUGGCAGCCAUGCAAUGUUCAGAUUCAAAUUCAGUACUAUUAUUUCUUGGUUUAAUGCAAUUAUUUCUCUGGUUUUCAAAAGUGUUCUGUGGCUAUAAAUACAUGGAUCAUUUAGCUACCACAAUCAAAACACUUAGAAUUUUCAUCGUUAUUCAUAUUUUCUUUCAACAAAACAUAUCUUGCUGAUAAACAUUUUGUUGAAGUUCAAUUCCAGAGUAUAAAUCAAGGGAUGACGCUGUUAAUCAAAUCAACCAUUUUAUCUUUUAUAGCAAAGACAUUACAAUAUGGCAAAGGUAAGAAGUUUUAUCAUUUUACACAAAAAUGCCAAAUCAGAUAUUCAGUAGCUCGUGCAUGGAAAUAACUGAGUAAUACUUUUUUUUUAAGGUGAUGCUUUUCUUGGCUUUCUGCAAUGGCAGAACUCAUGUGUGGAAACAGCAAAUAUAUUAAAGCAGCAGCAUUUGUCCUCCUAUGUCAGAUCAAAGACAUGCAUUGGUUUUCAUAUAACGAGGUAAAAAUUUAAUGGAAGCAUCUGAGGUAGUGACAGGAUUCCAAGGCAGGACGCAUGGAAACGAAAAAAAAAAACUUUGACCGAAAGUUUGACCAGUCGAAUUCUCCUUCUUUCUGUCAGAUGUUUCAUUGGCUUUUCAUUUUCAGAAAAUUUCUCAUCUUUCUCAAGAAACUUAGUUGAGACACUUUCAUGUUGGAACUUUGGUGAAGAAAGUAAAUAUUUUAUCUUU